rnacentral:lncRNA from 1 species
AAGUAAUAACUAUGAUGUAUUGACAAUUUGCCAUGACACUUUCAGAUACAGAAUUAUUUGGAAAAAACAAAGGAUUGUUAUGGGCGGAGAACAUAAAUGAAAGGGUUGAGUUAACACAAAAAGAAGUAAUUUUUGACUCUUCUAUAGAUAAAAAUUUUCUUAAUCUCGGGGAAAUGUUUGGUGUUCGUGAAUCGGGAAUAAAUCCAGUGGAUCUUUGCUUGCGUAGUCAACAGGUAAUAAUUUAGAGUAUGUAUCAACUUUCUAUAAGUCUGUAAAUUAGAAUGGAUAACUUGAAAGUAGCUAGUAAAUUAGAAUUUCUUAUUAUUUUUAUAUUUUGAUUGUGGAACUCUCAAUAGUCGUCCGUGAUGUUUAAAUUCUCACAUUUUGGUGGCAGCAUCAAUUCUGAUGUUUUCUCUAGUUUGACAUUUUAGGAAUGUUACUAAUUUUUGAAUUCUAAUCAAUUACAGGAUAUGGAUCUAAGUAAUCAAACCCAAUAUCAUGGAAAAAUAUCUACAGGGACUUCUUCAAAAACUACUUUCCCUAAUUGCAGAACAACAGAGAAAUAUUUCCAGCGUAGCAAUUUUUUAGGUCUGGCUCCUGUACUUGAGUGUUCUACUUGUCCAAUUAGAGGAUCAGUAAAUGCACAUUCCAUGUCAAGGCUUGGCCCUAACUACAAAGAUAAUCACAUUGAUAAUGGUCGAUUCUCGCAACGAGCCUCAAAUAGAAAAUGUCCAUCGUGGUCUGAACAUGUGCAGCAAGUACUGAAAAAUCUAUCAGCAGACACAAGGAUACUAAAUCAAGGACAAGGAUUUUCCUGGAAGAAGUGUCAGCGAUCUUGGUCCGAAGAAGAAUUAGAUUCCCUCUGGAUAGGAGUAAGAAGGCAUGGGAGAAAUAACUGGAGUGCUAUGUUGAGGGAUCGGAGAUUGUGCUUCUCUGAUUUGAGGAAAUCGGAAGAUCUAGCUGAGAGGUGGGAAAUAGAACAAUCAAAGCUUUUCCAUGGUAAUUACAAUAGUAGUUAUGUUCCUCGCGUCAUGCCUACUGAAUAUUUACCAUCAAGGAAUCAGAGCACACUUUCUCUGGGUAAUGCCUACUUGCACCAUCAAGCUGAUACCUUUUCCAACAGAAAUCUCUUCAACCUUUUAGACUCUGGCACCAUCCGUAAAUCAAGAAAAGAAAAUUUAGUAGCAGCUUCCUAUGUCUCAGAUGUUUUAUCAAAAAACUCACUUUGGAACAGCUUAGGUGUCAAAUACCCGAGGCCACUUAGGCCGCAGGGUUCAUCAAAUAUGCUUGAGCACCACAACACUGCUGGAUUCACAGAAAAUGGAAAUCUGCCACAUUGGCUUAAAGCAGUCAGCGCAUCUUCUCAUCUUUCCUCAAUAGGACCAUCAAAAAUGCCAUCAAAUCUUGAUUCAAUCAACCUAUCAGUUUCCACAAAAGAUACAUGUAAAAGCAUCCUAAAGAAGACUGUAGAUUCACUUGAAUCAACUUCUCCAGAACCUGGUGCUACAUCAGAAAAAAGGCAACAUUUUGAUAGCAGAGAGAAGUUGGAUUUGAACAAGAGUUACACGAACCCUGCGGAAAUAAAUGAGUUAAUUAUAAUAGAAGACAGUGAUAUGUCUUCGGAGGAGACGAUAUCCGAUAAUGGUGGAUCUUGAUCUGUUUUCUCCUUUGUAUGCUUCUAUCUUUUUAAACGUUUUUUUUAUAAUAGUAAAUUUCAUUUAUAAUGAGGUGGUUAAUGUUCAAAGUUUCAAAGGAGAAAUGAAAAAUCUCAUCUACAGACAGAUCUCUAAUUCUGCAAAUGAUUAUCAACGAAGUUUGGCAAUAGGGUUACGAGGUUUAUCAACGAAAUUUGGCAAGUUAUAGAAUUUCAUGAUUCUGCAAAUGAUUAAUAUGCUAUAUACGUUGUCUUAAAGUGAAACAAAUUUGAAUCCCCAAACAUAUAGGGUUUAGUUUAUUUUGCUAGAUAGAAAUAAAUUACAUCUAAUAAAAAACAGACAUUAAAAUACACAAUCCAUUAUUUUAAACACCUCCAGAUCACUGUAGUUUUUCUUUGGUUCCAUUUAUUCCUCCAUUUUGCAACAUCCUCAAGGAACAAAUAUUACCAACAUUUUCUAACAUCAAAACUGCAGGCAGAAGAUCAUGUAUGUAACUAACACAUGAUGUCGGCUAAUAAAAAAAAGCCGGGAUAUAAAUUUUAAGAAUAUAGUUUACCAGAGAACUUUUAUGAUUCCUCCUGCUCAUCUGACCUAGGUGGUCUUGUGAUCCUCCUACGUCUCCUUGGAAUUGGAUUCUCAUUAUCUCCAUCAUGACCAUCAUCGUCAUUGGUGUGAAUGUGGUUGUCAUGGAGACCCAGUAGAUUUUCACCCCAAAGAUUGCGAUGUCCCGAAGGACGUCUGUGUGAUCUCCAAGCCCUUGAUGAGUUCCUUGAUUCAUUGAUAGAAGUAAGUGGGCUUCCAAACAUAUGGAAAAGGAAAAAAGUAGUCCACCAUGGUCCAGCUCCAGAAUCAUCAUCUGGUGGUCCUCCAGUGCCUUCCCGGCCACUGCCAUUUGAUCUCCCAUCAACAUUGUCAAUAACAUAGUCUCCAAAAACAACUGCACCAGGCAUUGCUGAACGGAUGGCACUAAGGAUGUCACCAUAAUCCUGCUGACGUUCUAAGCGGCGCCAUGUACGCUGCCUCGAUGGUUCAACAUCAGCCGGUCUUGUGGUAGGGUGUACUCUCCUAGCAUGCCUGCGAAGUUCUCUGUAAUUUCCAGAAAAAGAACAAGAUUCACGUGAACAACUCCUUGUUUUUAGAUCAAGAUACUCUCUUGCAUCUUUAUCAAUCUUCCAUCCAAAAACAGAUCCACGACAAAGAGGACAAUUCAAUGCCUCAGUUGGUUCAGUGGUAUUAAGAUCAAUCCUAUCUUGUCCCUGAGCUUCCAAAUGCCUUUCGGCGGCUUGGCUACUACUUUCAUCUGGUAUCUGCUGCAAUAAAUUGGUGAUUCCAUCAAUACUCUCCACAUUGUCAUCCAUGAUGUUUCGUCUCACCCUUCUUCUCCCAAGAACAGAUCGAGAAUUAAGAGAGUGCAGAGACGUUGGUGUUGGAUCAUGAAUUUCUCUUUCACGAUUCUCAAUGUGUGAAGAGUUUCUUCUAUUCGGCAAAUUGCUGGUCUCUGUGUUUACUCUCAGCUUUUUGAAUCGAUCUAGGCAAUUUGAAUGCCUGUAGCUGGUAUCACAGAUAUAGGAGCUGCAACCUUUUUCAUGAGAAUUGCACAAUAGAAGGACUGCAUUGUGCGGAUGCUCCAUGCAGAUUGGACAUGUCAGCUCGUCCCAUUGCUUGUGAAGAACACAAACAUCUGCAUUAGUGCAAUCAGUUCCUUUGAAGUUUGUCAUUUUGAUUCCACACUGCUAAAAUUAGUUCAAAUGUUAUUGAUUACAAAAAAGGUGUUUAUAAUGCUAGACCAUGGAAAUACACCACUUGGAUUUCUCUGUCACAUGUUGCAGUUUAGCAGAAGCUUGAUUUAUAGUUUAAAAAUGAAAUAAAUAUUGUCUGUGUGUGUAUGUGCACAUUCAAUUAGAACAUAGAGCAAUUUAUGGAAGUAGAGAGAGAGGGAGAAUUGAAACGACAACAGUUUAUGGCUCACCUGUGAAAUAGAAUUUGAACUUUAAACUGGGGACCCUAUUCCUUGUAAAAAAGCAAGCUUCUUUUAUAUAAAAUUAGGAAAAUCUGAUGGGUUUGGUUUAUGAAGAAAACCAAAUGCUUGCCAAACAAAUCCUCAAAAAGUGACGAUGAAAUACAAUGCAACGAACCAAACUUGAACAAUCUAUAGCUUCAGAAUUAACUGUAAACUUUAAACUGAUUCCACAAGAUCACAACUCACAGCAACAUGUAAAAUCCUGCACUUAUGUUGAGGAUUAAGAGCAGAUGUCAUAUAAUACUAGUUACGGUUAUUCCUAAAAAGGAAGAUGAGAACAACUAAACCAAAAUGAAGACCAAACUGAUGAUGAUCUUUGAAAAAUCGAUUUGCUAGAUAAAAACGAAGAAAAGUAGAGCAACUGACAAGAUGCGUCCAUAUAAACUAAUAAAAACUAUUAAUUUCUCCACAGACGACAACAAAGAACCAUAUACAUAUACAUAUAAAUCGGAGGGGAAAGGCAUAGAUCAAGAUUCGAGAGAGAAGACGCAAUUGAAAACACUAUAAAUUUCCACAACAUAAAUAAAUAAAAAUCCAAUUUUUCUUCUUCUCAAAAAAGAUGAAAAGAAGCAAGGGAAUCAGAUAAAAGGUCCGAGUUUUACGGGGAUCGAAGGUGUUCGUUCCUUCCUGAUUUUCUUUUCUUCCUUUCUCUCUAGAGUAUAGAUCGAUUCUCUAUUCCUCUUUACUUGUUCAGCAAAUCCCCAAAUAAAUCGUUGAAGAAGAAGAGGGCGAGAUAGCGGGACGAGUUGGGUAUUUGGUAUAUUGGAUUUUGAGUGGUAGUUUAUUUUGCAAUUUGGUUGAAUUCCCUCUCUCCCCUCCGUCUAUAUAUAUAUUUGUACAUUUCCCCAAUUGUUGCAUUCAAAUUGAUUACUUGAAGAAAGAGGAACUAAACAGAGAACUACAGAAUAAAGAAACAGAGAGUAUAAAUACUAUUAAACUGUCCAAAACUAAACAUAAAGAUUUUUUAUUAACAAUUUAAUAAAAUUAGUUCAUCGAUUACAAAUUUACAUUAAAAUAUUGAUUUCUAUUUUAUACAAACAUUAAAUAUUUGACUACAUUCAAAUCACCAAUUUUUAGAUACCUACACUGUACCAACUUGGUUGGGAAUGGGAUUACUAAAUGAACAGGUAAAUUUAAUCAAUUAAUUGCAUUUUUUUUUUUUUUUUUUUUUUGAUAAAUUAAGAGACCCCGUGCCCAAAAAGUUAUGAACCUGCUCUGUCAAAAUGGUUCACUUCUCUAACCAUGAUUCUUCCCCAGAUACAUAAGUGAACCCACUUCAUAGAUCAUCCUUAAUACUCAUCCAAUGUGACUAGAACAAUUUCUAUAUAUGUGAAACCAUCUAACCCGACCAAAACAUUCAUACUUAUUGGUACCAUGGUUCAUUAACCGGACCAGAUCAUGGAUUUGACUGAAAGCCCGUGGGCCGAAGCGGUCCAAGAGCCAAGGGAGAACUUAGCUUAAUGGUAUAAAUACCCUCCCUUGAGAGAAAACCCAUUUAGAAUUUCUGAGCGUCACUUGUAGCAUAAGCGCACGCGGAGCCCGUCGAGUGGGAGAGUUUUUGUGUGUGCAUGGGCGGUACCCCGGGCACACACCAUCGAUGUCCAUGCAACAUGUCAGUUAAGCAGAUGCAGCAAGGGCGGAGCUACAUUGUAGAGAGCGGUAGUAAUCACUACCCAAAACAUACUCAUCCGGCGAUGAAGUCUGGAAUGUAUUAAAAAAUUUACCAAAAGCUAAAGCACCAGGUAUUGACGGGCUAACGGUGGAAUUCCUGAUCCACCAUUAGGGAGUGAUGAAAGACGACUUCCUAUCUGCAAUCCUCCACUUCUUCAACACUAGGAGAAUGUUGAGGUCGCUAAACCUCGCUACUCUGACCCUGAUUCCGAAAAUUCAACUGCCGGACCGAUCGUGUUUGGGAAUCACAUACAAAAUCUUAGCGUCAAGAUUGAUGACAGUGCUCCCUAGUAUUAUAAGUGCAAACCAAAUGGCAUUCGUCAAAGGUCGCCGGAUAAGCGACGCCAUAGGCUUGGCGCAAGAAUUCACGCAAGCAUUUAAUUGUAGGAGCACCUCAAGACGCGUCUGCAUCACCAUAGACUUCGCAAAGGCGUUCGAUACGCUCCGGUGGGAUGCUAUCGAAGUGGUGUUAGAAUUGAUGGGAAUAGACCAAACAUUCCGACAGCUGGUCAUGUCGUGUGUUACAACAGCCUCGGUAUCGGCCUUGGUUGAGGGUUCUCCUACCCAAAUCAUUAAAUUAUAGAAAGGACUGAGGCGGGGUGAUCCGCUCUCGCCACUUCUCUUCGUGAUGGUGAUCGAGUAUCUUACGAGGCUGGUAAAAAGGGCAGUAGGGGAUAGAAAGCUUGAACUAUACUCGAUUGGUGGUGCCCAAAUUGAAAACCAUCUUGCCUUUGCGAACGACGUCACCUUCUUCUACAGGGCAUCAUCGAAGUCUCUAACGGCUCUAAAGGAAGUUCUAGCGGAAUUUAAGGCCUUCUCAGGACUAAGGAUCAAUGCCGGUAAAAGCUCCGUCAUCCUCUCUAAAAGAGUAACUGAUAAAGCAGAGAUGGCGGCGAUACUGGGAUUCCAACUUAAAGAACUACCAAUUAAAUAUCUCGGAACUCCGCUAACAGGUAAAUUGAUAAGAUACAAGGAUUGUGAUGACCUACUUGCUGAGCUCAGGAGCAUCCUCACAAGGUAGAGCUCGAAAAAGCUAUCGUACAUGGGGAGGAUUCAACUCGUGGAGUAGAUUUUUCAGGACAAAUUUGGGUAUAUAGCACAGAGUAGUGUGGUAUCGCAAGCUGCAAUCCGGGCACUUCAGUCGAUCACCUACAGAUUCAUUUGGGGUUCCCAACAUGAGGUUGCUUGGGAAAGCAUGACGAAAUCAAAAAAGUGCGGAGGAAUCGGAGUCCGAGAUUACCGAACCGUCUAACAGGCUGCAAUCAUCGGAAGGGCUUGUAGGAUGUGGGAACGCGAUGGCAUCUAGAGUCAAUGGAUGUGCAAGCGUUAUGUCCGCGGUCGUCCCUUAUCGCAGAUUGGGAAAAAGCAGGGAGAUUCAGGGAAUCGGAAAGCAAUGUUAGGCCAAAGCGACCAAAUCGCAAAAUGCGCUAUUCUGGGAUCCUAGUACGUGAAAACCUGGAUUGGGAAAGGACAUAGAUGCUCUGUCAAGAACGUGCGAGCAACCCUCGCCUCUGAUCUGCCAAUCGACGAAUUGGCCAAAGGUAUAUGGGCUAAUAAAAUAGGGAAGGUUGCCCUUAAUCUAAGGAGAAUCAGAGGAAGGAGCCUUCCGACGAAGGAUAGACUGAUUAGAAGGGGAAUGUCGAUCGGAGGGAACUGUGAGCUCUGCACGGCAGGUCAGGAGUCCAUCGACCACCUCUUCUCAAGUUGUGAAUACACCAGAUGGGUAUUGGCAGAAGCUAUGGGUGCAGCCGGUGGCUUCGUUAAAUUGGACACUAUUACCAACUUCAAAGAAUCCGCUAAUGAACUGAACAAAGUAACGAGAGGUACCCGACAUGGGGUUUGCUAUGGAAUAUUUAUGGAAUUUCACCCUUCCACAUCUGGAAGCAGAGGAAUCAGAGGAAUAUAGAGUUAUUUAUACUGAACACAAGCUUAACCAGGGACGGGAACUAAACUAAAUUGCACAGCGGAACAACAGAAAACAAACUGACCAACGUCAACAAACUAGGGAGGAAGAGUAGUGUAGCUACGUUCGGUUGAUAAUGGGGUGUUGGGGUGUUUAGGGGUGUUGGGAUGGUGGGGUGUUAGGGUGUUGGGGUGUUGGGAUGUUUUGGAAGGGGUGUUGGGAGAUAUUGGGUUAGGCUGUUCGGUAUUGUUUGAAAAUGGUUGAGGUUAGAAGAAGAUAGAAGAAGGUGUAGGAGUAGUCUUCGUUUGAUUGUAGGUUUGGAAUACAGAAUGGGUUGAUUUAAAUAGGCAAAAAUCGGAAGGGAUGAUUUGACGUUGUAGACUAUUAGAUAGCUAAAGGAUAGAUAAAUAGGUAUGAGUUUUAUAAGAGUUAAAAGCUAUUAAUUAACUUCGUAAGUGCAGAUAGACGCGAUCUGUGCUCGUUGUGGGCUACAACCCGAAUCGGUGAAUCAUAUUUUUUACACAUACAGUUUCACAAGGAGUAUGAUACAAAAAUGUUUAGCAGUGUUGAAUAACAUAGUUGUGAUGAAUGAUAUCAAUGACUUUGAAUCGAUGAAUCUGGCUAUAGACAAACUUACAAUCAAGUCGCCAAUUUGAGGUAUCCAUUGGACUCUUUUAGCGGUCGCCAGUUGGAGCUUAUGGAGAAAACGAAAUGGGAGGAGAAUGACAGGUAAGCAGGUUACGUAGGAAGUGUUAUUUGAACAAAUUACAAACAUGACUGAGUUGGGAUUUAAGAAUGACCGGUUCAAAAAUCACACAGGACAAGAGGAGAAACUAAAUUUAGAAUUGACAAUGAUGAGUCAUGAUAGCCCUAUAUCAGGGCAAAGUUAGAUUUAGAAUUGACAAUGUAAUUUUAAAGUUAUUUUAUAUAAAAUUACUCUAUAAUGUCUUUAAAUUUUCUUUUAAUUUAAAAAAAAAGUACCUUUAUAAAAAAAAAUUAACUUGGUAAGUAUUGUAGUAAUGAUGUGCACUCUUUUUUUAAUAAAAUACAUAUUUUAAUUUAUAAUCUAUUCAUUGUUUUCCUAAUCGCGCAUUCUAUUUUCAUUUCCCCUUCUCCAAAUCCCACAUCUAAUUCAAAUUUUCAGCAAAGUUAGGUAACCGAGUAGCGAUUAAAUGAUUUUUUGCUUUGUUCUGAUUUGGGAUUUUGUAAAUCAUGUUAUUAACUUUAUGUUUGUAAUUUAAUAUUAUAUUAUGAAAUCGAGGUAUAAUCGUUAAUAUUAUAUUAUGCUUUGCAAUUUUGCAUUCUCACCUGUUUUCAAUUUAAUAGAUUGAUUUGUAUAUUUUUAGAGUUUACCAAUGAUUUUGUUUGUUUAUUUUUAUCAUAAUCAGUUUCAGUUAAAUAUAUUUAUUUGCAGCAUUGAGACUUCAACACGCCAAACACCAUUGAAAUUGGAAAUGGAAGAAAUUUAGACUUUGUUUUUUAUUUUUUAAAAUUAACAUAUUUUUCUUUCAUAAUUAUAAUAUUUUCAAAUAAAACAUAGUAAUUUUUUUAAAAAUUCUAAUAAAAGUUCAAAAAUAAAAUCGCCUCUGACAAAAGAUUAGGCCUCAUUUUCAUCUCGUUGUUAUCCGUUUGUAUUGAUCAUCUCCGAUCUAUGAUCUAUCUCUAGAUCUGAACUUGAUAUCCAAAGGCUCUUUCUCACAUUCUUGAUCAGUUUGAUUGAUGAAUCGGAGACCUUUUCAAUCUAUCAGGUUAAUUCGGAUCCACAAUUAUCAACUUAUUAUUUAAGAUCCAGAUCUUAGAUUGUAUCGCUCCUUUCCUUUAGUUGUGCAUUGUUAAUUGCCUCAUUGAAAAUCAUUUGGUCCUUGAUAUCAGACAAUCAGAUGUAACCCGGCGGUUAUUGCCGGAGGAAGCCCGGUGUCCGAUGGAAGAGUUGCUGCCGGUAGAGGAGAGAGAUCCGGAAGAUUUAGACGUGUUUGAAGAAGUGGAUAUUAAAACUUGCUUUGGAGACGUCGUCUGCUGCAAUGUGAGACCUUCGCAGAGUCUGGAAGCAUUUCGUCCACCGGAGAGGCCGAUCGGAGUUAGGGUUUUCCGCCCAAUCGUAUUUGGGGGAAAACGGAAUUAACUACCGGACGUGUGGUGGAAAAAGAGGAAGAAAGAGGGUGAAAGGAAAAUUGCUAUUCUUAGUUAAUCUUUUUUCUUAUUGAUUAACUUGUAAAACAUUGAGUCCUUAUUAACUCUUAAUCACGUUUAUUUAUACAAAUAUUACGAAAUUGUUAACAGCUAAACAAGUAACUAAUUUUUUAAUUCUAAUUUAUUUGAGCUGGAUCUUGAUUCGAGUCCGAGUGCGAUCCAAACCCGAUUAACUGUAACAAUUCUGUACAAGUACACAAAAUUAUUAGUAAUAUCAAUCAGGUCCAUUUGCCCUGAUUUAUUUUGUGUUGUUUGUAUAACAGUCCUUAAGUUAAUUAUAACUGAUAAUUGAAACUUUUACACUUCGAUCCUUGUAUUUAUAAAUCUCAGUUAUAUUACGAAAACCUUUAGUUUCUUUUAAUUGCGCUUAGAUCCAAAUAACGUUUAUUGAAACUUUUAUAAGUCAACCCCUGUUAAUUUAUAACAAAACAGUUAAUUCUGUUUUGUCAUAACUCUUGGGUUAUUCAUAUUCCAUUUAAGUCCUAAGCUUGUUUCUUAUGGUAAAUUGCUUAUUUACCUUGUAUUUCAGUUAUAUUCUUAUAGUGGAGGUGGUGGGUUUAGAUCUGAAAACCCUAGAAAGUGUUCCUCUUGGUUUAAAUACUUUAAAGUAUCAAGUACAAUCUGACAAUGAAGUACAAAGCUCACUUAGAAGGAGCAAACGCAAGAAGGUCCCAACACACAAUGCUGGACUACGAAUUGGAUUAAAAGUUGGACCUAUUUGGUGGGCUCGAAUUAAUUAGAUUAAAUUGUUUUUUUUAUUUCUGUUAAGUGUGUUGCCUAUGUAAGGCAAACCCUAGACUCUAUUUUUUUUAAUCAAGCUAUUUGUGGUUUUAAACCCUAGCCGUCAUGCCACAAGGAAAGUAGAUCUCUCCCCGCCCUCAUUUUCUGAAAAGGAUUUUAGAUCCGGUUACACCAGACAUCAUUUUUAAUAUUAAAUUGACACAAUGAAUAUGUGAUAAUUACUAAAUUACUUGAUAUUUAUGGGUAUAUGCCAUAUAUGUGCCAAUAUUUUCAGAAUUUAUGGAUUUUUCUUAAACAAUAUUAUUUUCAUUGUUAUCAUUAAGUCAUUAUCUCAUAAUGAGAAAUUGAGCUAAUGAUGUGAUUUAUAAAUUAAUGAAACAUUGAAAAUAUCCAGGUUUUGCGAUUUUUUAUUAAAUAUAUUUUUACAAAAUAUCUAAAAGAAAUUGAGCUAAUGAUGUGAUUUAUAAAUUAAUGAAACAUUGAAAAUAUCCAGGUUUUGCGAUUUUUUAUUAAAUUUAUUUUUACAAAAUAUCUAAAAGUAGUGGACCAAGUGGUGUUUAUCUAGAAUUGUACAUCCACGUCACCGACAAGAGUGUAAAAAUAUCUUUUCGCUUUGGGGUGACUAGACUAGUUGGCAUUUUUCUCCCACGUGAAACCUGUCCCACCAAGUCAAUCUCCAUCGUUGAUUCAAGCAGGAAAUCUACGAAGAUAAGCUCUGGACGGAGAAGAUCGUCGAUCGACACAGGAUUUGAAAAAAUCUUAGGAUUACGAUGGGUGGUUCGAUCGUUAUAAAACCCAACUGCAGGACACUGGGAAAUAGAAGAUACAGAGAUUUCCAAAACACACAAAAAGAGAUCUAAUAAUGUCCACAUUUACAGUAGCAUUCAGUUCUGGUAUCUUUAAUCCCCGGCGAACCGUGCUUCCGAUUCAAUCACCACGGGCGGUGUUGGGUGAAAGUAAUAACCACAGUGUGCAUGCAUGGUCAUCGAAGCGAAGACGGGAGGUGGCUGUGGCGGCUACGGUAGUUGACGGUCGCGUACAGUUCGACGACAAUCCAGAGGCGAUCAUAUCCGGAGAGUGGACGGAGAAUUUCUCCUUAGUUUGCUACGACGACCUCAGGGAAUACUUCGAACAUAGGAUCUUCAAAGAUGAAGUACGUACUGCUAAUUUACUAAUCAAUCAUUACUAAUUUUGUUAAUCGAUUGGGUGUUUUCGCCUGCAGUUGAGUCCGAAUAUGCCAAUCAGGGAAGUGAUGUCGACAUCAGUACGGACUGCGACGAUAGAUCAGACGGUGGGGGAGAUCGAACACCACUUCCAGGUUACUUCUGGGUUGCCGGUGAUGGACGACGAGCUAAGAUGCAUCGGGAUCAUCACAAAGAAAGAUCUGGGCAGCAGAGCUUCAGCCAAAGUAAGCGAGGUCAUGACAUCGCCUCCCCCAACACUCUCACCUGAAAAGACAGUCAGAGGUAACGUCGAUCGUAUUAAAUUAAAUAUUAAUCCUCCGACUUCCGUGAUUAAAUAAAUAUCCUAAUCAUCAUCGUACUAUUUAUUUUGCAUGCCUGCAGACAGUGCUGCACUAAUGUUGAAGAACAACAUCCAGUGCGUAGCGAUUUUAAAUGAACACCACGAAGUCGUAGGUAUUCUCAAUCGAAGUGAUAUUUUGCAAGAAUUCGAAGCCGUACCUUGAGUUGACUUUUACAUAGAUACCCUCGAUCGAUCCAUCCAUCCAUUAAUCUUAUGUAAAUAUCACAUAUUCACAUGUUAACUAAUAGUUUAAUAUGU